CGAGUGGCGACGGGUGAGUAAUGCGUAGGAAUUUACCUCAAAGCGGGGGAUAGCCCGGAGAAAUCCGGAUUAAUACCGCAUGUGCUCUACGGAGGAAAGCGGGCCUCUUCUUGAAAGCUCGCACUUUGAGAUAAGCCUACGUCGGAUUAGCUUGUUGGUAGGGUAAAAGCCUACCAAGGCGACGAUCCGUAGCUGGUUUGAGAGGAUGAUCAGCCACACUGGGACUGAGACACGGCCCAG
rnacentral:rRNA from 1 species